rnacentral:rRNA from 1 species
UACAGAGGUGGCAAGCGUUGUUCGGAAUUACUGGGCGUAAAGGGCGCGUAGGCGGUCUUGUAAGUCUCGUGUGAAAUCCCUCGGCUUAACUGAGGAACUGCACGGGAUACUGGCAGGCUUGAAUUCGGGAGAGGGAUGCGGAAUUCCAGGUGUAGCGGUGAAAUGCGUAGAUAUCUGGAGGAACACCGGUGGCGAAGGCGGCAUCCUGGACCGACAUUGACGCUGAGGCGCGAAAGCCAGGGGAGCAAACGGG